rnacentral:misc_RNA from 1 species
AAGAGUCACACCAGCUGAAGGCCCAUCCUUAGGCACCGCACCGGCAGGAAAAUGUAUAUGAAUAUCACGACCCUCCAAAAGAUUAGAUUCACAAGCUGAUGCCAGUUUCAGAUCUGUUGCCCUCGCUCGGACCCAGGUAAGAGCUAUCUGAGCUGAUUCUUUAAUGACGUCACCAAGCUGGCCGGUGAGAUGUAAUUCUCCCUUCCCAGACAUUGCUGUA